AACGCUGGCGGCGCGCUUAACACAUGCAAGUCGAGCGAGAACCAGGACUUCGGUCCUGGGGACAGCGGCGAACGGGUGAGUAACACGUGGGUAAUCUGCCCUCGGUUCCGGAAUAGCCCGGGGAAACCCGGAUUAAUGCCGGAUAGCCUCUCGAGCCCUCUGGCCCGCGAGAAACGGUAGCUUCGGCCGCCGACCGAGGAUGAGCCCGCGGCGGGUUAGCUUGUUGGUGGGGUAACGGCCUACCAAGGCGACGGUCCGUAGCUGGUCUGAGAGGACGAUCAGCCACACUGGGACUGAGACACGGCCCAGACUCCUACGGGAGGCAGCAGUGGGGAAUCUUGCGCAAUGGGCGAAAGCCUGACGCAGCGACGCCGCGUGGGGGAAGAAGGCCUUCGGGUUGUAAACCUCUUUCAGGAGGGACGAAGCCACUCGGGUGAAUAGCCCAGAGGGUGACGGUACCUCCAGAAGAAGCCCCGGCUAACUACGUGCCAGCAGCCGCAGUAACAC
rnacentral:rRNA from 1 species